rnacentral:rRNA from 1 species
UAGCUGCUGGAGCGAACCUGGUGAACUGAAAUAUCUAAGUAACCAGAGGAAAAGAAAUCAACCGAGAUUCCGUAAGUAGCGACGAGCGAACGCGGACUAGCCCUUAAGCUGAUUUGGUUCUAGGAAAACACUCUGGAAAGAGUGGCCAUAGAAGGUGAUAGCCCUGUAUCUGAAAGGGCCAUUUCAGUGAAGACGAGUAGGGCGGGGCACGUGAAACCCUGUCUGAACAUGGGGGGACCAUCCUCCAAGGCUAAAUACUACUGACCGACCGAUAGUGAACCAGUACCGUGAGGGAAAGGCGAAAAGAACCCCGGAGAGGGGAGUGAAAUAGAACCUGAAACCGUGUGCGUACAAGCAGUAGGAGCUCCGCAAGGAGUGACUGCGUACCUUUUGUAUAAUGGGUCAGCGACUUACUGUUCGUGGCAAGCUUAACCGUAUAGGGGAGGCGAAGGGAAACCGAGUCUGAUAAGGGCGCAUAGUCGCGGGCAGUAGACCCGAAACCGGGUGAUCUAGUCAUGCCCAGGGUGAAGGUGCGGUAACACGCACUGGAGGCCCGAACCCACUCCCGUUGCAAAGGUAGGGGAUGAGGUGUGAUUAGGAGUGAAAAGCUAAUCGAACCCGGAGAUAGCUGGUUCUCCUCGAAAGCUAUUUAGGUAGCGCCUCAUAUGUAUCCUCUCGGGGGUAGAGCACUGUUAUGGCUAGGGGGUCAUCGCGACUUACCAAACCAAUUGCAAACUCCGAAUACCGAGACGGACUGUAUGGGAGACACACGGCGGG